AGCAGUUAAAUCUCCCAGCGAAAUCUGAGACUCACCCCAGCGUGAGUUUUGUGUAGGAUAUCACUCCCCUUAUUAUUUUAUUUUUUCACUUUCAUUUUCUCACCAUAUUCAAUCGAGGAAAAAGCUGUUGAUUCUACUUUGAGAAUAUAUUUGAAUCCAUCUCUUCCACCUGCAACUUUACUCUUCAUGCCCACGGCAAUAACCAAGGUGACCUGAUGUUUGGUCAAGGUAUUGCCCACCAGAGUUUUCCACUGUGGAAGUCAAGAACGCAAGCUAUUAGGGUUCAGCACAGCCACAGAUAAAAGGAUCCAAGACCCCUGAAUCAGAACGUGGAAGACAGCUACGUGUCAGGCCGAGAGAACAGGAAAGAAACUCCUAUUGUAAAUAAUUGCAUAUACUCUUGAAAUUAGAGGAAGAAGAAGAAAAUUAAAACCACCUAUAAUUUGGUAACUCAGAGAUUAUUCCACUGAUAUGCUGAAGAAAGACGUGCAGAUGAGAACUAAUGGGCUCAGCAGAUAUAAUCCUGUUUUCUUUGUUUACUACCUGCAACUCCUGCUGGACUCAAGUGUUUGGUUUUUCAUCUGAAGGUUGUCUUCUUGUUUUGUUUAUGGCUUCCUUUGCUGUGCAAAAGCUUCCAAGUUUAAUAAGGUCCCUGCCCCACAAUCUUUUGAAUGGUGAGAGGGAGAGAAGCAAGAUGGCAAGUCUUUUCUGCAUUGGCCUCAGUGGGUGGGGAGAAGACUGGGUGCUCAACGUGCACAGCUGCGAACAAGCAUUGAGAACACCUCUGCUAUGAACAUCUGUGUGCAAAUGGGUUUGAAAUACUUGAACAACGAAAGAGGUCACAUACAGCAAAGAAAAGCUCAGAAAAGAGGAGGAAAAAGAUGAAAAAAGUGUGCAUGUGUGCAUGCAGGUCUCCUGGACGUGCUGUCUCCUGGGUCAACACCUGUCCUGUUUAGAACCACACUUUGUUGUAGGAGAGACUGACCAGCACUUGGAUAAGCACCAGAACAAUGUGCUGAGUUAAACAAAAGACAAUAAAGUAUGGCAAAUAAAGGUAAUUUCCCCCCAGGGUUAUAACCAAGAAUCCAGGAGCCAAGAAUUUGUGUUUCCUGAAUGUUAAACCAUGUCAGUCAUUUACCUUUUGUUUUUAAUACCUGUUUUAGAAAGGUUAAAUAGUUUCAAAUUUUGAGUUUAAAAACUUGGGAUGUUUCUUUAAAAUGAACAUCCAAAAAAGACAAAUUAACCUAAAGACACAACGAAAAGAUUCUGAUGACAGAUGGUUUCCUAAACAGGACUCAGAAAAGAAAGAUGCACUCUAAAAUGGUUGCAAUUGUAUAGCAGGUAUAUUUAAAACUUUUUUUAAAAUUAAAAGUAUCAGAAGUAAUUCUACAUACUUUUACUCCUUCGGUGUAUACAGGGUUUUUGUUUUUUUUUAAAUCCAUCUCUGUUUCUUCAUAUUAAAAUAUAUGGCCUUCGUGUGUCAUUUUGGAUUUGUUUUUAUAAACAUCACUUGUAAUGUCCAUUAACUGGGUGGAUAGUAUCUUCAAUCCACACUCUAUUAUUGACUGCUUAGGUUUAUAUUUCUAUUAAAAGUGAUACCAAACUAUUUUUAUAUUUCUAUUAA